rnacentral:rRNA from 1 species
AAAAGCUCGUAGUUGGAUCUCAGCUCCUGCCGGACGGUCCGCCUACCGGUGGUUACUGUUCGUCGCAGAGCGUUAGGACAGCUGCUUUUGGUGAUCUUUACCGGUUGUCUCGGGUGGCUGUCAAGUUUACUUUGAAAAAAUUAGAGUGCUCAAAGCAGGCGUGAUGCCUGAAUAAUUGUGCAUGGAAUAAUGGAAUAGGACCUCGGUUCUAUUUUGUUGGUUUUCGGAACACGAGGUAAUGAUUAAGAGGGACAGACGGGGGCAUUCGUAUUGCGACGCUAGAGGUGAAAUUCUUGGACCGUCGCAAGACGAACUACUGCGAAAGCAUUUGCCAAGAAUGUUUCCAUUAAUCAAGAACGAAAGUUAGAUGUUCGAAGGCGAUCAGAUACCGCCCUAGUUCUAACCAUAAACGAUGCCAGCCAGCGAUCCGGCUGUGUUCCUCAAAUGACACGCCGGGCAGCUUCCGGGAAACCAAAGCUUUUGGGUUCCGGGGGAAGUAUGGUUGCAAAGCUGAAACUUAAAGGAAUUGACGGAAGGGCACCACCAGGAAUGGAGCCUGCGGCUCAAUUUGACUCAACACGGGGAAACUUACCCGGCCCGGACACAGGAAGGAUUGACAGAUUAAGAGCUCUUUCUUGAUUCUGUGGGUGGUGGUGCAUGGCCGUUCUUAGUUGGUGGGGUGACUUGUCUGGUUAAUUCCGAUAACGAACGAGACUCUAGCCUACUAAAUAGACGUUCCCGUCAUCUUUCGCGGGACGUUCUUCUUAGAGGGACAAGCGGCGUUUAGCCGCACGAGACAGAGCAAUAACAGGUCUGAGAUGCCCUUAGAUGUCCGGGGCCGCACGCGCGCUACAUUGAAGGAAUCAGCGUGUGCUUUCCCUGUCCGAAAGGACUGGGUAACCCGUUGAACCUCCUUCGUGCUGGGGAUUGGCGUUUGUAAUUGCCGCCAUGAACGAGGAAUUUCCAGUAAGCACGAGUCAUCAGCUCGUGUUGAUUACGUCCCUGCCCUUUGUCCACACCGCCCGUCGCUACUACCGAUUGAAUGAUUUAGUGAGGUCUUCGGACUGGCGCUCGGAUUGGCCUUCGCGGUCGAGCCGGUGUGCCGGAAAGAUGACCAAACUUGAUCAUUUAGAGGAAGUAAAAGUCGUAACAAGGUUUU